rnacentral:misc_RNA from 1 species
CCCUUGUGGAGGAGGACGCCGAAGGUGGGGCUAAUGACUGGGGUGAAGUCGUAACAAGGUAGCCGUACCGGAAGGUGCGGCUGGAUCACCUCCUAACAGGGAGACAACAAAAUGUUUAAUAUUAAUUUUGUCACCUUAGGUCGAUCGGUAUCUCACAUUCUUAAUUUAUUAAGGAUUUCUUUUUCUAAGUUUUUUCUAGGUCACACCCAUUAUUUUCCCUGGGCCAUUAGCUCAGGUGGUUAGAGCGCACCCCUGAUAAGGGUGAGGUCCCUGGUUCAAGUCCAGGAUGGCCCAUAUCUCUAUGUUGGGGGUAUAGCUCAGUUGGUAGAGCGCCUGCUUUGCAAGCAGGAUGUCAGCGGUUCGAGUCCGCUUACCUCCACUGAUUACCACCUCUUCCAUAAAUACAAAGAAAGGGAAGGUUAUGAGUAGUGAUCAAAUUCUGAACGAAUCUAGCUUCCUAAUGAAAUCAUUAAGAUGCUGGACUCAUUGAAUUAUUUUCAUUGUUUUCAGAGAACCUUGACAACUGCAUAGAUUAUUUUUAAAGACAAUAAGCAUCUUUAAUGAUGCAGAUUUAUUAUUUAUGCGAAUGCAUUAAUAACAAUUCUAUUAAGCUGAUGCUUCAAUUUUGAAGUUAUUGGUCAAGCUACAAAGGGCUCACGGAGGAUACCUAGGCACACAGA